CCCGCACAAGCGGUGGAGCAUGUGGUUUAAUUCGAGGCAACGCGAAGAACCUUACCAGGUCUUGACAUCCCCUGACCAACCCGAGAGAUCGGGCGUUCCCCUUCGGGGGACAGGGUGACAGGUGGUGCAUGGUUGUCGUCAGCUCGUGUCGUGAGAUGUUGGGUUAAGUCCCGCAACGAGCGCAACCCUCGACCUUAGUUGCCAGCAUUCAGUUGGGCACUCUAAGGUGACUGCCGGCUAAAAGUCGGAGGAAGGUGGGGAUGACGUCAAAUCAUCAUGCCCCUUAUGACCUGGGCUACACACGUGCUACAAUGGGCGGUACAAAGGGUCGCAAACCCGUAAGGGGGAGCAAAUCCACUUAAAGCCGUCCUCAGUUCGGAUUGAGGUCUGCAACUCGACCUCAUGAAGCUGGAAUCGCUAGUAAUCGCGGAUCAGCAUGCCGCGGUGAAUACGUUCCCGGGCCUU
rnacentral:rRNA from 1 species